UGUUGUUACCAAGGACGACAACGUUUAUCAAGCAUAGGUCGUUGUAUGCCAUAUAAGUUGGUUGUCCUCUUAACCAAUGAGUGUGGAGACACUGGUAUGGAAUACAGAUGAGAUGUAAGGGUACAUCUGCACUGAACGUGACCGACUUCGAAGCUAUUUCUGCUGUCAAGAUUUACUCUGAUGAAAUAUGGAUAUAAAUAUCUCUCCGACCUGAGACCGCCACGGUGACUUGCAAGCAACUCGCUGCACUUAGGCAUUGGACUACCUGAAUUUCUAAUUCAGUGACGGAAGGCUGCUGGGUGUAGUCAAGUACUUGACUUGUCGGUGCGUGUGUCAAGAUGGGAUUGACCACUCCAGUUUAGGAGCUGUGUACAGUCAUAUUUCAAUUUAGCAAAAUCUUGGCCAGGGUAGUCUUUGUGAGGAGUCACAGGACUGUUUGAGUUGAGCACGAUUCGGAUGAUCU
rnacentral:lncRNA from 1 species